rnacentral:rRNA from 1 species
CUACGGAAGGUCCGGGCGUUAUCCGGAUUUAUUGGGUUUAAAGGGAGCGCAGGCGGAGAUGCAAGCGUGACGUCAAAUUUCGGGGCUCAACCCCGUCUCGCGUCGCGAACUGCGUCCCUUGGUUGCGGGAAGGGGAGGCGGAACUCGUGGUGUAGCGGUGAAAUGCAUAGAUAUCACGAAGAACUCCGAUCGCGAAGGCAGCCUUCCGGCCCGUCAACGACGCUCAUGCUCGAAGGUGCGGGUAUCAAACAGGAUUAGAUACCCUGGUAGUCCGCACAGUAAACGAUGGACACCCGCGGUUUGGCCUAUAUGGCUGAGCCGCCAAGCGAAAGCGUUAAGUGUCCCACCUGGGGAGUACGCCGGCAACGGUGAAACUCAAAGGAAUUGACGGGG